GAUGAACGCUAGCGGGAGGCUUAACACAUGCAAGUCGAGGGGCAACAUGAGGUAGCAAUACUUUGAUGACGACCGGCGCACGGGUGAGUAACACGUAUGCAACCUACCCUGUACAGGGGGAUAGCCCGGAGAAAUUCGGAUUAAUACCCCAUAAAGAUAUUUAGAGGCAUCUUUAAAUAUUUAAAGUUUCGACGGUACGGGAUGGGCAUGCGCAACAUUAGCUAGUUGGUAGGGUAACGGCCUACCAAGGCUACGAUGUUUAGGGGACCUGAGAGGGGGAUCCCCCACACUGGUACUGAGACACGGACCAGACUCCUACGGGAGGCAGCAGUGAGGAAUAUUGGUCAAUGGGCGUAAGCCUGAACCAGCCAUCCCGCGUGAAGGAAGAAGGCGCUAUGCGUUGUAAACUUCUUUUCCGGGGGAAGAAAACCCGCUACGAGUAGCGGCUUGCCGGUACCCUGGGAAUAAGCAUCGGCUAACUCCGUGCCAGCCGCCGCCGUAAAAC
rnacentral:rRNA from 1 species